UGAGGAAUAUUGGUCAAUGGACGAGAGUCUGAACCAGCCAAGUAGCGUGAAGGAUGACUGCCCUAUGGGUUGUAAACUUCUUUUACAUGGGAAUAAAGUUUUCCACGUGUGGAAUUUUGUAUGUACCAUAUGAAUAAGGAUCGGCUAACUCCGUGCCAGCAGCCGCGGUAAUACGGAGGAUCCGAGCGUUAUCCGGAUUUAUUGGGUUUAAAGGGAGCGUAGGUGGAUUGUUAAGUCAGUUGUGAAAGUUUGCGGCUCAACCGUAAAAUUGCAGUUGAAACUGGCAGUCUUGAGUACAGUAGAGGUGGGCGGAAUUCGUGGUGUAGCGGUGAAAUGCUUAGAUAUCACGAAGAACUCCGAUUGCGAAGGCAGCUCACUGGACUGCAACUGACACUGAGGCUCGAAAGUGUGGGUAUCAAACAGG
rnacentral:rRNA from 1 species